rnacentral:lncRNA from 1 species
GGGAAGAGAAAGGGGGCCAGUUGCAUGUCAAUCAUCAUCAAAACGCAUGCCCUCUGCGAAACUAGGUCCAUGGGUAGAACCAGCAACGGCUUCAUCAUACUCCAAGUCAUCCUCACCUUCAUCAAACUCUAAAUCAUCGUCAUUCAUGUUUUGUUCUGUGUAUCUAGGUUGGUAGCUACAACCUGCAUGUUCUUCAGUUGUGUUGCCAUCCUAGCUCCAACUAGGGAAACCUUCUGCCCACCACAUUUUCUGCAUGUUGUUGGUUGCCCCCUGUCGUUUUGUCCUUGCAAACACCCAUAUUGUUCGGUUAACAUGUACAUGUCAUUCUGCAUAGUAAUAAGAAGAAUAAGAAAUGAGGACAUUUUUAUUGUCACACAUAGGGCAAAGGACUGGGGGAAUAUGUAUACAUAUGUAAAUGAGUCAAUUUUAUUUGUACGAAAACCCCCUGCCACGAAACUUGUUGCUGACCAAAAUGUUGGAAUCCACCAAUUCUAGUCUGUCACCACAAAACAUGUAAUGUAAUUUCCAUUUUCCUUUUUAUCAUUUUCCCCAUUUUUUCCCCUUAUACAUCUCAACAUCAACAAAAAAAGGCACUUUAAGUACCUCUUGACUAGCAGCCAUCAACAACUGUGUGUAACUCAUGUUGCUACCUCCAAGUAAAUUCAUUUCCUGCAUUUUUACUUUUUGUAUGUUAGAAUUUGAUAAUAAUUUAAGUUUUUUUUCUCUUUUUUUUUCAUAGUUACAAGGUGUGCAACGGAGUUCCAUAUUAUUCAUCAAAGCAGAGAACUUAUAGAGGGGACAAGCUUUCCUUUUUUUGCCAUGAAAAGCUAGUGCAUGUGGUGCUAAUGUAAUUGAAGAUGGUUGGAAUGCUAGAUGCAUCCCAGCUUGCUGCAGUUGCACAUGUGGGAUACCAAGGUAUGGCUGCUGCAAACACAAAGUCAUGUUUUCGUCAGUUUACUGUUAUUUAACUUUUGUUCCCUUUUCAUUUUUGUUGUCACCCACAAGGAUAUGUAAUUACAAUCUAAGGAUUUUUUUUUGCAUUUUUUUCCUUCUCACCUGAAUUGGGGUCUGCAAACUAUGCGGAGUUGGAGCACAACUGUUCGGAAUUUUUUGUGCCAAAGUAUUCUUCGGAUGCUACACAAAAUGCAGGAAACAGUAUGUGUCAAUCUGAAUGCAUGAGAUAUCUUUUUUAUUUUUCGGCAUUAUACAAACAACCACAUUCAUCAGUUUUAUUAUGUGUCAAGGACAGAAAGAUUCAACUUUUUUUUCUUCAUUCUAUAAUUUUUGGCAAGCAAGGAAUGAAAGAUUCAAUUUUUCUCUGUCCAGAACAAGUGUUUCACCAUGCUAAGUAUAUUUUUUUGGUCAAAAUAGUGCAUUCAAGAUAGACAGUUCUCCACCCCAAAGUGUAAAUCUGGGAAUCCAAGGAAUAGAUCAUAACUUUCAGCCAUGUCUGUUUCUACUGUGUGCUUUUUUUCCUGGAGCUUUUGUAGUAGUUUGACUGAACAUAUGGAAAAAGCACCAUCAUGGAAUUUACCAUCUGUUAAUCAACUACUACAUGUGCAGCAUGCUGAGACAGAAUGAACAACAUGCAGGUAUAUCUAUAAAAAAAUUGAAUUUUUUUCAGGCAGAUUGAACAACAUCCUGAGAUAGACGAAGUUUUCCCAUGAGUUUUUCUCAGAGACAAACAUGUGUGCCCAUCAGGAAAGUGCCAUACUGCUCCAAGAUUGCUGGGAAAAAAAUAAGAGAAGUAAGAAGGAAAUCACAAAUUUUUCAGAUCCAAAAUUAACAGGGGAACAAGAACAUGAAAAGGGAGGAGCUGUAGAUGGAUCCAUGGAUGCAGCGGGGAGGGUUUUGCCUGGGUGGUGUUGUCACAAAGAAGGAACGAAGAACUGGCACAGGAACGAAAGUUUUUCCUGUCGUUUAGCUACAAAAAUGGGCCUUACAUUUUUCUGUUGUCUUUUUGCUGCGCC